GCGAGUCAUUGUAGUAAUACAAGGCAGACGGCUCAGUAACGCGUACUCUCCUAACCUAUGGACGGGAAUAACCUCGGGAAACUGAGCAUAAUGCCCGAUAGAACAUUAUGCCUGGAAUGGUUUAUGUUCCAAAUGAUUUAUCGCCGUAGGAUGGGACUGCGCCCUAUCAGUUUGUUGGUGAGGUAAUGGCCCACCAAGACUAUUACAGGUACGGGCUCUGAGAGGAGUAGCCCGGAGAUGGGUACUGAGACACGGACCCAGGCCCUAUGGGGCGCAGCAGGCGAGAAAACUUUGCAAUGUGCGAAAGCACGACAAGGUUAAUCCGAGUGGUUUCUGCUAAAGGAACCUUUUGUCGGUCCUAGAAACACCGAUGAAUAAGGGGUGGGCAAGUUCUGGUGUCAGCCGCCGCGGUAAAACCAGCACCUCAAGUGGUCAGGAUGAUUAUUGGGCCUAAAGCAUCCGUAGCCGGCUUUGUUAGUUUUCGGUUAAAUCUGUACGCUCAACGUACAGGCUGCCGGGAAUACUGCAGAGCUAGGGAGUGGGAGAGGUAGACGGUACUCGGUAGGAAGGGGUA
rnacentral:rRNA from 1 species